rnacentral:rRNA from 1 species
GACGAACGCUGGCGGCGUGCUUAACACAUGCAAGUCGAACGGAAAGGCCCCUUUGGGGGUACUCGAGUGGCGAACGGGUGAGUAACACGUGAGUAACCUGCCCUUGACUUCGGGAUAACUUCAGGAAACUGGGGCUAAUACCGGAUAGGAAUCCUUGCUGCAUGGUGGGUGUUGGAAAGCUUCGGCGGUUUUGGAUGGACUCGCGGCUUAUCAGCUUGUUGGUGGGGUAGUGGCUUACCAAGGCUUUGACGGGUAGCCGGCCUGAGAGGGCGACCGGCCACAUUGGGACUGAGAUACGGCCCAGACUCCUACGGGAGGCAGCAGUGGGGAAUAUUGCACAAUGGGCGGAAGCCUGAUGCAGCAACGCCGCGUGCGGGAUGACGGCCUUCGGGUUGUAAACCGCUUUCAGCAGGGGCGAAGCUUGUGGUGACGGUACCUGCAGAAGAAGCACCGGCGAACUACGU